GUAUAAAAUGAAAAUGUCACUGUUGACUUUCAUUCAUCUUUCCCAUUCUGCCCUCUAUCAGAAAUUGCUAGACCAGAGCUGAGUAUGAAAUAGACUGAAAGUAACCCAGCUAUUUCACAGUUCAAUCUAUUCUGACUGCAGGGUGCUGCUGAAAGGAAUAGUCCAGCCCUGACCUUACAUUCCCUGCUGCAUAUUUCCAAACUUUUUUCUGCAUUUUGUUUUGACUAACAUUCUUGGGGUUGCAGGGUCCACCAGAUCAAUUUGUUCAUCCAGCUGAGAAAUAAUUAGCAGGGUUUGUUUCUAGAGGUUCAACAAGUUGGAAGAAGGGUUUGGUCACUUCACCUUGCCCCAGCAUGGUCAUUAGGCCUGACACAAAGAAAUGGUGAGAGGGUUCCUGGAGCUGAGUACCUGGUGGGCUCUCCCCUUCCAUAUUAUGGUGGCCAUGAAGCCAGUGUUAUUCUGUUAGACAAACAGAGGCUACCUGCUUGGGCUUUUUUUUUUAAUCCAAUCUGCUGGGGUUGAAUUGUGACCUUAAGAUGCCUCAUGUAUUUUUUGUGAUCUAGAACCACAGAAAAUGAGAACAGACCUUAAGUCUGUUUUUUUUAUCUUAUUUGCAGUAGUCCACAUGUCCUAUGGUCUGACCCAAAGGCUUGGAACAUCAAGAAACAUCAGUGUUAGUCAAGUCACUUGUGUUAAGAAGCAAACACACUGUGACUGUCUUAAUUUCCUACUUCGAAGUAUUGUCCCAUGAAAGGAGAAUCCUACACAUUUGUUGCUAGCCAGCACUGUGCCAUAUGCCUGCAAUGUGGCACUUGAGGGGAUGGAGCCAAUCUAAAAAUAAAUGUUUAUUCCACUUA